UACGUAGGGUGCGGAGCGUUGUCCGGAAUUAUUGGGCGUAAAGGGCUCGUAGGCGGUCUGUUGCGUCGGUAGUGAAAACUCAGGGCUUAACCCUGAGCCUGCUUCCGAUACGGGCAGACUAGAGGUGAUGCAGGGGAGAACGGAAUUCCUGGUGUAGCGGUGAAAUGCGCAGAUAUCAGGAGGAACACCGGUGGCGAAGGCGGUUCUCUGGGCAUUACCUGACGCUGAGGAGCGAAAGUGUGGGGAGCGAACAGG
rnacentral:rRNA from 1 species